AAUUGAAUGUUUUUUUUUAAUAUGUACUAAUAUCUGUGGUUUUCAUACAUUUACUGAUUAAUACAUUUGUUUUUAAAUUAACAUGCCAGUAACAACAACAACAAUACGUUGAGGUAAGGAAAAGUAUAUUUAUGUUUA